rnacentral:rRNA from 1 species
CACUCUAUACGGAGUUACAAAAGAACAUGUUAGACGAAUCAUCUGGAAAGAUGAAUCAAAGAAGGUAAUAAUCCUGUAGUCGAAAACAUAUUCUCUCUUGAGUGGAUCCUGAGUACGACGGGGCACGUGAAAUUCCGUCGGAAUCUGGGAGGACCAUCUCCUAAGGCUAAAUACUCUCUAGUGACCGAUAGUGAACCAGUACCGUGAGGGA